rnacentral:rRNA from 1 species
GCGAUGAAGGACGUGCUAAUCUGCGAUAAGCGUCGGUAAGGUGAUAUGAACCGUUAUAACCGGCGAUUUCCGAAUGGGGAAACCCAGUGUGAUUCGUCACACUAUCAUUAACUGAAUCCAUAGGUUAAUGAGGCGAACCGGGGGAACUGAAACAUCUAAGUACCCCGAGGAAAAGAAAUCAACCGAGAUUCCCCCAGUAGCGGCGAGCGAACGGGGAGCAGCCCAGAGCCUGAAUCAGUGUGUGUGUUAGUGGAAGCGUCUGGAAAGGCGUGCGAUACAGGGUGACAGCCCCGUACACAAAAAUGCACAUAUUGUGAGCUCGAUGAGUAGGGCGGGACACGUGGUAUCCUGUCUGAAUAUGGGGGGACCAUCCUCCAAGGCUAAAUACUCCUGACUGACCGAUAGUGAACCAGUACCGUGAGGGAAAGGCGAAAAGAACCCCGGCGAGGGGAGUGAAAAAGAACCUGAAACCGUGUACGUACAAGCAGUGGGAGCACGCUUAGGCGUGUGACUGCGUACCUUUUGUAUAAUGGGUCAGCGACUUAUAUUCUGUAGCAAGGUUAACCGAAUAGGGGAGCCGAAGGGAAACCGAGUCUUAACUGGGCGUUAAGUUGCAGGGUAUAGACCCGAAACCCGGUGAUCUAGCCAUGGGCAGGUUGAAGGUUGGGUAACACUAACUGGAGGACCGAACCGACUAAUGUUGAAAAAUUAGCGGAUGACUUGUGGCUGGGGGUGAAAGGCCAAUCAAACCGGGAGAUAGCUGGUUCUCCCCGAAAGCUAUUUAGGUAGCGCCUCGUGAAUUCAUCUCCGGGGGUAGAGCACUGUUUCGGCAAGGGGGUCAUCCCGACUUACCAACCCGAUGCAAACUGCGAAUACCGGAGAAUGUUAUCACGGGAGACACACGGCGGGUGCUAACGUCCGUCGUGAAGAGGGAAACAACCCAGACCGCCAGCUAAGGUCCCAAAGUCAUGGUUAAGUGGGAAACGAUGUGGGAAGGCCCAGACAGCCAGGAUGUUGGCUUAGAAGCAGCCAUCAUUUAAAGAAAGCGUAAUAGCUCACUGGUCGAGUCGGCCUGCGCGGAAGAUGUAACGGGGCUAAACCAUGCACCGAAGCUGCGGCAGCGACGCUGAUGCGUUGUUGGGUAGGGGAGCGUUCUGUAAGCCUGCGAAGGUGUGCUGUGAGGCAUGCUGGAGGUAUCAGAAGUGCGAAUGCUGACAUAAGUAACGAUAAAGCGGGUGAAAAGCCCGCUCGCCGGAAGACCAAGGGUUCCUGUCCAACGUUAAUCGGGGCAGGGUGAGUCGACCCCUAAGGCGAGGCCGAAAGGCGUAGUCGAUGGGAAACAGGUUAAUAUUCCUGUACUUGGUGUUACUGCGAAGGGGGGACGGAGAAGGCUAUGUUGGCCGGGCGACGGUUGUCCCGGUUUAAGCGUGUAGGCUGGUUUUCCAGGCAAAUCCGGAAAAUCAAGGCUGAGGCGUGAUGACGAGGCACUACGGUGCUGAAGCAACAAAUGCCCUGCUUCCAGGAAAAGCCUCUAAGCAUCAGGUAACAUCAAAUCGUACCCCAAACCGACACAGGUGGUCAGGUAGAGAAUACCAAGGCGCUUGAGAGAACUCGGGUGAAGGAACUAGGCAAAAUGGUGCCGUAACUUCGGGAGAAGGCACGCUGAUAUGUAGGUGAAGUCCCUCGCGGAUGGAGCUGAAAUCAGUCGAAGAUACCAGCUGGCUGCAACUGUUUAUUAAAAACACAGCACUGUGCAAACACGAAAGUGGACGUAUACGGUGUGACGCCUGCCCGGUGCCGGAAGGUUAAUUGAUGGGGUCAGCGCAAGCGAAGCUCUUGAUCGAAGCCCCGGUAAACGGCGGCCGUAACUAUAACGGUCCUAAGGUAGCGAAAUUCCUUGUCGGGUAAGUUCCGACCUGCACGAAUGGCGUAAUGAUGGCCAGGCUGUCUCCACCCGAGACUCAGUGAAAUUGAACUCGCUGUGAAGAUGCAGUGUACCCGCGGCAAGACGGAAAGACCCCGUGAACCUUUACUAUAGCUUGACACUGAACAUUGAGCCUUGAUGUGUAGGAUAGGUGGGAGGCUUUGAAGUGUGGACGCCAGUCUGCAUGGAGCCGACCUUGAAAUACCACCCUUUAAUGUUUGAUGUUCUAACGUUGACCCGUAAUCCGGGUUGCGGACAGUGUCUGGUGGGUAGUUUGACUGGGGCGGUCUCCUCCUAAAGAGUAACGGAGGAGCACGAAGGUUGGCUAAUCCUGGUCGGACAUCAGGAGGUUAGUGCAAUGGCAUAAGCCAGCUUGACUGCGAGCGUGACGGCGCGAGCAGGUGCGAAAGCAGGUCAUAGUGAUCCGGUGGUUCUGAAUGGAAGGGCCAUCGCUCAACGGAUAAAAGGUACUCCGGGGAUAACAGGCUGAUACCGCCCAAGAGUUCAUAUCGACGGCGGUGUUUGGCACCUCGAUGUCGGCUCAUCACAUCCUGGGGCUGAAGUAGGUCCCAAGGGUAUGGCUGUUCGCCAUUUAAAGUGGUACGCGAGCUGGGUUUAGAACGUCGUGAGACAGUUCGGUCCCUAUCUGCCGUGGGCGCUGGAGAACUGAGGGGGGCUGCUCCUAGUACGAGAGGACCGGAGUGGACGCAUCACUGGUGUUCGGGUUGUCAUGCCAAUGGCACUGCCCGGUAGCUAAAUGCGGAAGAGAUAAGUGCUGAAAGCAUCUAAGCACGAAACUUGCCCCGAGAUGAGUUCUCCCUGACUCCUUGAGAGUCCUGAAGGAACGUUGAAGACGACGACGUUGAUAGGCCGGGUGUGUAAGCGCAGCGAUGCGUUGAGCUAACCGGUACUAAUGAACCGUGAGG